GUGCUCACUUUGGCAGCACAUAUACUAAAAUUGGAACUGUAGAUAAGAUGAGCAUGGCCCCUGUGCAAGGAUGACAUGCAAAUUUGUGAACAAUUCCAUAUUUAA